ACAGAGGGGGCAAGCGUUACUCGGAAUUACUGGGCGUAAAGCGUGCGUAGGUGGUUCGUUAAGUCUGAUGUGAAAGCCCUGGGCUCAACCUGGGAAUGGCAUUGGAUACUGGCGACCUAGAGUGCGGUAGAGGGUAGCGGAAUUCACGGUGUAGCAGUGAAAUGCGUAGAUAUCGUGAGGAACACCAGAGGCGAAGGCGGCUACCUGGACAAUUGCUGACGCUCAGGCACGAAAGCGUGGGGAGCAAACAGGA
rnacentral:rRNA from 1 species